rnacentral:tRNA from 1 species
ACCUAGUUAGCUCAGUCAGUAGAGCAUGAGACUCUUAAUCUCAGGGUCAUGGGUUCGGGCCCCACGUUGGGCG